GGGGUUGUAGCUUAGCAGUACAGGGCUCAUCUAGCACGUGUGAGGCCCUGGGUUCAAUCCUCAGCACCUCUU
rnacentral:tRNA from 1 species